UCAUCGGCUGCAGGAGCCGAACAACAGGCUCACUGUCGACGGGGGGGAGGUAGGUUGCGCCAUCAGAGUCUUCUUCAUUUGGUAUUCUGGUGGCCAUGUGGCCUGCCACAGCCCCAACCAAAGCCGACAGUGGUGUCAUGCCUGCUGCAGCAGGUCCUCCUCCUAAAGAAAUGCGCAACAGUUGUAACAUUCUAUGAAGUACAUUUAUGAAGUGCUUUGAGUGGGCCCGUACACAAUGCACAUUGAAUAAAAAUUUUCAACAUAUUUGAUUUUAAGCAGGUUGCUGAAACUGCUGUGACCCACUCUUUUACUCGCAUCCUCUCCAGUAUUGCAUGCAAGGUAUAUUACAGUAUUACAUUGUGCCACAUUUCAUGUUCUCUAUUCUUUGUAUAAAUGUGUUAAUAUUUUCCUAGUACAUGUAUUUUUGUUACCUGCAUUGCCUUUCAGCGUAUCUUUAGAAGACCAUGUGGUAUUGCAUAAAAUCUCACUGCUGUAUUGUGGAUACAAUACACAAUGCUCAUUGAGGCUGUUCUGAGUCUCGCCGAAAUAGGGUGCAGCAAACUUCUAUGCACAUACAAACAAGUAGGCAGGCUGUUAUAGUAAUAGGGCAUUUCAGGAGUUACAAAAUGUGAUUCAGUGCCAAAUUUUGUGAACUGGAGCUUAUGUGUAUCUGAUCAUACUGAAAUAAAGUACCCUGAGCGUGUCGAACUACUGCUAAGCUGUUUUUGCCAGCAUACAAUUAUGUCGGGGUACCAUUAAAAAGACGUUACUUUUCAGAGCAGUAGAAUGAGCAUAAUUUGCUGUUUGAACAGCUCGCUUGUUGCAUAACUACUUCUAGCCUAAUGCCUGCGUUUAGCAAACCUAAGCUGUGUCUGCUCGUGUGUUACCCUACGCCCCAUGUGACCCCCAUUAUGUGUUCCAGCAUAUGCACCACGCGAGAAGUGCUUGCGCAUCACGUUCAUCACUUUGAGGAAAAAGCUUUUGUACCGUGCACCAUUUCGGCCAGCUGCAAAUCUCAACUCUACACGAAGCACACGUGUAAGCAGUGCAGUACAAACGCGCGAAAACGUGGCAAUGUUAAUUUUCGUGACAACGUCGAAACGCGGAGACAUAAAUAACACGAACAUACAGUACGAUGCACUGUUCGUGUCACUUAUACGUAGCGGUGUGUCGUUGUUUUCGCAGUUAAUGACGCGAGCCUCGGCAAGCAUGCAAUCACCGAAGCCAAUAUACUGUCGACACCACACACAGACACGCAGUUUGACAACACAAUUCCAAUGACCUACACAAUGGUGCUAGUCUUCUACGUUCCAUCAUCAAUAAAAGAUCGCUUACCCGUCUUGUGAAUUUUUCUUUUUUCUUCAGAAUUCUCUUCUUUCCAUUUCUGCUUCAUGUUUCCCCAACAUUUCUUCAGCUGCUUGGGGUCGCGAGGCGUGACACCAUGCUGUGCAUUGUACUCCACAGCGAGCUUCUUCCACGCCGCAGUUUUCGCGCUUAGUGAUGCCACGUCCGUCUUUUUACAUUCUAGAACUUUUUUAUGAUUGUUGACUAAGCUCAAAAGAAGCGACUUCUCCUCGGAUGUGAAGCGCGGUGCCGGUUUUCUCGAGCCACACGGUGCGGUCGUCUCCUCCGACGCCAUUUUAAAAGUGACCGUCGAGCGGCAGUGGAUCGACUUGGAUGGUUAUGGCUGUUUUCGUGCGAUUUUCUUUUAUUUAUUUCUUUUUUCUGCCAAUGCCUGUCUGCAAACGGGCACCUAGCUUAACCUUUCAGGAAAUCGUCGGUUCUACAGAUAUAUGAAAUAUUAUUACUGUCAUUCAAUCUGGUAACCUCGCUCCCAGACACACCGCGGCGUAGCUUGGGCUUGACUUGACGAAGGAAGGCAGCGAGAACGUUUAUGAAACGUGAUCGCUGCCUUCAGCGUGUUCAAGUCGGGUGUAGUCUUGAGCAGGACUUGUUCAAGUCAAGGCGCAGCUUCAAGUUAAGGCGCAUUUCUGAAUACGGGGACCUGACGGAGGACCGUGGAAACCGACCGAAAAUUCAAGAAUCUGUAGCCGCCACUUGGUUGGCAACAGACAAAACAACGUUGCGAACCAUCCUGCGCCUGUGCCAUCGAUAUUUGCACCUCUUAACAGGCGUCCGCCUCCGCUUAACCCAACAACUGGAAAGAAGAGAUUUGGCAGGAGAAAAGACACCAGGUAGGUGCUGCAGCUACAACUGGGCACAGUACAGAUCUUUCAACUUUUGCCGAGUGUACAAGCAGCACUGUACCAAGCUCUUGUGCAGCCCAAGAACAUGCGGAAGCAGAAAUGCAAAAUAUUCACAGCAUCGAAACAAAAGUUCCCCCUGUCACUGAAGGAGGUAUUACUGAUCCUGGGCUUUCCCCUCAAAGUCCUAGGGUUUUUCCUGCAGAAUGUGCUCGUGUAACUGUUGUCACUCAGCAACAUAUAUUAUGGACUGUUGCAGUUGGCCCUCCCCACUAGAACAUGCUUUUUGGUGGCUUCCACAGCAUCAUUGGCAGCUCAGAUGCAAUAAGUCUGUGUGGUGUUGACAGCCAUGUGUUUGCAUUGUUACUCAGUUUGUUACCAGCUGUUAGGGAAAGGAGUAGUGACGUUACUGUCCAAAAUACGUUGCUCAUGAUGUUAAUGAAAAUGAAGCUGGGAAUAUCAUUCUCUGCAGUUGCUAUUCUUUUUGGGGGGCAUGAGAAAACUGCGUCCCGUGCACUCUACGCUGUGCUGCACACACUGAGGGAAAUAUCAAAGGACUGGAUUUACAAGCCCCCCAUAACUAACAUCAUGUUGUCCCAGCCAUCUUCUUUUAAAGUAAAUUAUCCGCAGUGCGCUCUCAUAAUUGAUUGCACAGAAAUGAAAACUGGAACCCCCUCCGAGGUAAGGCAGCAACACAUGCUCUACUCGCCAUGCAAAGGAACCUACACAUUAAAAUUUCUUGUUCCUAUCA